rnacentral:rRNA from 1 species
GAAGUUUUAGUGACUGAGUGGCGGACGGGUGAGUAACGCGUGGGUAACCUGCCUCACACAGGGGGAUAACAGUUGGAAACGGCUGCUAAUACCGCAUAAGCGCACAGUACCGCAUGGUACAGUGUGAAAAACUCCGGUGGUGUGAGAUGGACCCGCGUCUGAUUAGCUAGUUGGCAGGGCAACGGCCUACCAAGGCGACGAUCAGUAGCCGACCUGAGAGGGUGACCGGCCACAUUGGGACUGAGACACGGCCCAAACUCCUACGGGAGGCAGCAGUGGGGAAUAUUGCACAAUGGGGGAAACCCUGAUGCAGCGACGCCGCGUGAGCGAAGAAGUAUUUCGGUAUGUAAAGCUCUAUCAGCAGGGAAGAAGAAAUGACGGUACCUGACUAAGAAGCACCGGCUAAAUACGUGCCAGCAGCCGCGGUAAUACGUAUGGUGCAAGCGUUAUCCGGAUUUACUGGGUGUAAAGGGAGCGCAGGCGGAAGGCUAAGUCUGAUGUGAAAGCCCGGGGCUCAACCCCGGUACUGCAUUGGAAACUGGUCAUCUAGAGUGUCGGAGGGGUAAGUGGAAUUCCUAGUGUAGCGGUGAAAUGCGUAGAUAUUAGGAGGAACACCAGUGGCGAAGGCGGCUUACUGG